UUAAAUAAUAAAUAAAAUUAAUAUAUUGAUGUGACACAUGCCAAUCUAUCUACUGCUGACUUGGCGGAAGGAUGAAGAGAGUUGGUCAACUUGCAUAUAUGAUUAUAAAAGAUAAUUCUUCUUUUUACUGA
rnacentral:sRNA from 1 species